rnacentral:rRNA from 1 species
CCUACGGGCGGCAGCAGUGAGGAAUAUUGGUCAAUGGGCGAGAGCCUGAACCAGCCAAGUCGCGUGAAGGAUGACGGUCCUACGGGUUGUAAACUUCUUUUGUCAGGGAGCAAUUGCGUCCACGCGAAGGCGUAGCGAGAGUACCUGACGAAAAAGCAACGUCUAACUCCGUGCCAGCAGCCUCGGUAAGAAGGAGGAUGCGGGGGUUAUCCGGAUUUAUUGGGUUUAAGGGGGGCGUAGUCGGAAUGUCAAGUCAGCGGUAAAGGUUCGGGGCUCAACCCCGUCGUGCCGUUGAAACGGAUGGUCUUGAGUGGGCGAGAGGUAUGCGGAAUGCGUGGUGUAGCGGUGAAAUGCUUAGAUAUCACGCAGAACUCCGAUUGCGAAGGCAGCAUACCGGCGCACAACUGACGCUGAGGCACGAAAGCGUGGGUAUCGAACAGGAUUAGAUACCCGUGUAGUC